rnacentral:rRNA from 1 species
UACGUAGGGGGCAAGCGUUAUCCGGAUUUACUGGGUGUAAAGGGAGCGUAGACGGCGUAUCAAGUCUGAUGUGAAAGGCAGGGGCUCAACCCCUGGACUGCAUUGGAAACUGGUAUGCUCAAGUGCCGGAGAGGUAAGCGGAAUUCCUAGUGUAGCGGUGAAAUGCGUAGAUAUUAGGAGGAACACCAGUGGCGAAGGCGGCUUACUGGACGGUAACUGACGUUGAGGCUCGAAAGCGUGGGGAGCAAACAGG